CAUAUCUGAAAAACACAAUGCCACAUCCUCAGAGGGACACAGCUACACCCUUGUGGUCCUCGGGUGAGCUUGGAGCCAUCGGGAUCUUCUCAGGGACGUGGCUGCUGGCAGACACGGGGACAGGAUUCAGGCAGAGAUGCUUCCUUCUUGGGGUCUCCAGCCCUCUCCUGAUUAGAUCUGAAUCACUCCAGGCUGACCCCACGCUAAUUACUGGGGUUCACAGUCCUAGGAAUUGCAAAGGAGGGAAACAGACAUCUGCACAGAGCCUUGGUGCCUGGAUUCACCCAAGAAUCUCCACAUCCACAUUUUGUGAUUUCCACGGUAGUGCAAUGACCUCGAGGCUCACACCUCUGAAGAAGUGGCCAGGAUUUUCUGGCACCAAAGACCGCUGUGGGCUCUUGCCUCAAGUUAUCCAGCAGAUCCUCAGAGGUGUGAACUUCCUUCAGUAAGGGAAAAUACAUUGGAAUGUACAUCCUGCCAAGCAUCCAUUCAUCCCACGGUCACUGGAAACUUGGUGUUGCAGUGAGGAAGUGUGUCAAGGCUGGCUUCCCCGGAGACCUGCUUCCUGGUGGCAUCAAAAGAUGCAGAAGUUUUUGUCAGCUCACUCAACGAGAGUCUAUCUGUUCAUGCUGGCCUGGUUCAUUCAUACUCAACUUCCAAGACAUUGUUGCCUAAAGACCAAAACGACAAAUCAUCCAUUUUCAUUGAGAAAGAGAUCUCGAGAGGAGGUACUUAAAAGCUUCCAUUGGCAAUUUUUUUUUUUAAUACGGAAACAUAUCUGAGAAGCCAAAUCAAUAUCAGAACGCUGCCCUGUGGAUAGACAGAGCUGAGUAAAGUGAGACGUUGUUCAUGUCAUGACCGCUUGAUACACCCGAUUACACUAGAUGGAGUGUAGACCAGAAGGAAGGGGGUCCUCUCUCAGCAACACUGGAAGUCAGUCCAACAAAUGCCCAUGGUUCUGCACCUCUUUCUCAGUAUUCCUGGCCAGUCAUGAAAACUCCUGCAAUGGCAUUAUUUCCUCAUAAUGGAUAUGUUUCAGUGUUCCAAGAUUACCACUCACUUUUCACUUUGAAUUCUAAAUAAAGGCUUUCCUUUUGGGGAGGGACUCUGUAAGUACUUGGCUUAGUAUUUUUAAAAUGUUCUAGCUUGCUGUGGUGCGGUGUCACGUGUCUGUGGGUUAGCUGUGCCGUGUCCUUGUCUUGGAGUGCCCUCCCCGCCCUGCUGUACCCACACCCCCAACACCUCUGUCUGCUAAACUCUCAGUCAUCCUUUUCAUUCCAGGGACAAGUGUCAUCCCCUUCAGAAGCUCCCACACCCAGAGCAGGCUUAGAAGGUCUUUGCUCUGUGUUCCUAUGUUGGAGAAGGAAAUGGCAACCCACUCCAGUAUUCUUGCCUGGAGAAUCCCAUGGACAGAGGAGCCUGGCAGGCUACAGUCCAUGGGGUUUCAAGAGUUGGACAUGACUUAGCGACUAAACCACCACCUAUGUUGUUUGUUUAUCCUUUAUUCUAGCCUUUGUCAUAGGCUGCAAAGGCAGGCUUGUCUAGCCGUCUUCCCCACUAGAUUGCAAACUCUCAGGAAACAGGAACUUGGUCCAUCUCAUGGACCCGGACACAGUGCCUGGUACAGGGCAGGUAUUAGAUAGGUGCUGAUACUUGAUAAAAUCAGUGAGUGGCAUUAACAUUAGCCUACAGCUCUCCUAAUGAUGUCUCAAAAGCAUGCAAACCCCAUUUUAUUCUUCAGAUGACUUUUGACGCCUCUCGUUUAUAAAAGGCAAUGUUCAUAAAAACCUUAGGGUUGGCUUUCAAGGUGAUGAGAUGCGAACCUAGUCAGGUGAGCGAGCGUCACUAUCCUUGGGGGCACAUGGCUGCCAGAAAGAGGCGCUCUCUCCAUGCAUCUCUUCACUACCAAGCUGGUCAAGGAUGGAAACUGCAGGCUUCCCCUCAGUGUGUCCCAAAGCCCAUGGUCCUCCCUGUGGAGAAGCCCGACUGUCCCAAGCUGUGUCCUGAGGGGUUGGACAGCGAGAACCAACUUCCCUUUCCCUUCUGGUGGUUUCUCUUGGUGCAGACCAAAAUGAAAAGUUAUCUGAAAAUUCUGGAAUCAGACACACGUUUGUGGGUAAGAAAGUGAGAAGAAAAAGAUGAACUAUCUUUGUGGAGACAUGGAGAAUGUACUUUGCUGCUGGGUGGGUUUGGUGACCCUGACUCUCUUAGGAAUAAAGGAAAGCUCUCAGGAGCCUUUUGUGUUCUUGAUUAUAUUGUUCUAUUAGCUAAAUCUCCAGUGGUUCCCCCCCACUCCCCCUGGAGAAGGAAAUGUCAACCCACUCCAGUAUUCUUGCCUGGAAAAUUCCAUGGACAGAGGAGCCUGGUGGGCUACAGUCCAUGGGGUCGCAGAGUCAGCC
ensembl:lncRNA